rnacentral:miRNA from 1 species
ACUGACGGACUGGGACUUCUGUG